rnacentral:rRNA from 1 species
AUUGAACGCUGGCGGCAGGCUUACCACAUGCAAGUCGAGCGGAGAUGAGCUGCUUGCACCUUAACUUAGCGGCGGACGGGUGCGCAAUGCUUAGGAAUCUGCCUAAUAGUGGGGGGCAACAUUUCGAAAGGUAUGCUAAUACCGCAUACGCCCUCCGGGGGAAAGCCGGGGAUCUUCGGACCUUGCGCUAAUAGCUGAGCCUACGUCGGAGUAGGUAGUUGGGGGGGUGAAGGCCUACCAAGGCGACGACCUGUGGCGGGUCUGAGAGGAGGGUCCGCCACACUGGGACUGAGACGCGGCCCAGACUCCGACGGAAGGCAGCAGUGGGGAAUAUUGGACAAGGGGCGGAAGCCUGAUCCAGCCAUGCCGCGUGUGUGAAGAAGGCCUUUUGGUUGUAAAGCACUUUAAGCGAGGAGGAGGCUACCUGGAUUAAUACUCUAGGUUAGUGGACGUUACUCGGAGAGUAAGCACCGGCUAACUCUGUGCCAGCAGCCGCAGUAACAC